rnacentral:rRNA from 1 species
UACGGAGGAUCCGAGCGUUAUCCGGAUUUAUUGGGUUUAAAGGGUGCGUAGGCGGGCUGGUAAGUCAGCUGUGAAAUCUUACGGCUCAACCGUGAAAUUGCAGUUGAUACUGUUGGUCUUGAGUAUACAUGAGGUAGCCGGAAUUUGUAGUGUAGCGGUGAAAUGCUUAGAGAUCACAAAGAAUUCCAAUUGCGAAGGCAGCUCACUGGGG